GGCCAUCAAAACGAUGCAGCAGGCGCGCAAUUAUCCAAUCCUAAUUGAGGGAGGUAGUGACAAUAAAUAACAAUACAUUGCAGAACUGUUAUGUAAUUGGCAUGGCUCAAAUUUAACAUGUUUGACGAGCACCGAUUGGAGGGCAAGUCUGGUGCCAGCAGCCGCGGUAAUUCCAGCUCCAAUAGCGUAUAUUAAAGUUGCUGUGGUUAAAAUGCUCGUAGUUGUAUUUCUGCAAGUGCUGACCGGCCCGCCCACGGGGUGAGCAUAUUGUUCGGUGCUUGCAUAACAAUGUAUUGUCAUUCACACACGUGCAGUGACUAUGUCAUACAGUGUACCUUGAGGAAAUUAGAAUGUCCAGAAUAUGCAUAUGCAUCGAACACAUUAGCAUGGAAUAGUUAAAAGGGUUGUUGCACAAUCAUGAUGGUUGAUGAGCUGUGAUAAUGACUAAUAGGGAUAGUUGGUUGUAUUCGUAUUUAACAGUCAGAGGUGAAAUUCUUGGAUUUGUUAAAGACGGCCUAAUGCGAAAGCACUUGCAAAAUAUGUUUUCAUUGAUCAAGAACUAACGUUAGGGGAUCGAAGACGAUCAGAUACCGUCCUAGUCUUAACAAUAAACUAUGCUGACUAGAAGCUGAAGGUAGUCCAUUGUACAACCCCUCCAGAUUUUUAUGACAAAUCAAAGUGAUUGGGUUCCGGGGGGAGUAUGGUCGCAAGGCUGAAACUUAAAGGAAUUGACGGAAGGGCACCACCAGGAGUGGAGCCUGCGGCUUAAUUUGACUCAACACGGGGAAACUUACCAGGUCCCGACAUAAUAAGGAUUGACGGAUGUAUUGUUUUUCUUGAUUAUAUGGGUGGUGGUGCAUGGCCGUUCUUAGUUGGUGGAGUGAUUUGUCUGGUUAAUUUCGUUAACGAACGAGACCUCAGCCUGCUAAGCAAGUAUGAGUAACUUCAGUUACGCUGAAACUUCCUUAGAGGGACGUUGUACGCUUAGUGCAAUGAAGAUUUAGUCAAUAACAGGUCUGUGAUGCCCUUAGAUGUUCUGGGCUGCACGCGCGUUACACUGGUGCAUUCAGCAAGUUAUUCAUACGAUUUGGAAACAUAUGUUUGUAACCGGCUUAGCAUACGCCGUGAUGGGGAUCGACUAUUGAAAUUGUUAGUCGCCAGCGAGGAAUUCCUAAUAGGUGCUGGUCAUCAGCCAGUGUCGAUUACGUCCCUGCCCUUUGUACACACCGCCCGUCGCUCCUACCGAUUGAAUGGUCCGGUAAAUAAUUCAGACCAUUGCUUGAAUUAGGAAACUAUCGUUGCAGGGAACAGUAUGUAAAACCUUUUCACCUGAGGA
rnacentral:rRNA from 1 species